UUACAUCCAUAAAAUAUUGUUUGUUAAAACUUAAAAUGAUGUUGAUUGUAACAAAAAAAAAAAUGAUGAUGUUGAAACGACGACGUUUCCAGUCUCUGAAAAACGGUCCAUGAACGUCUUCAUCCUCUUGCGAAACCUGAAACGAAGCAAAUAGCAGAGAGAUAGAUACUAUAGAAUUCCGUGAAGAAGUGCAUUCCAAUUUCGAAACCUCUCUGUUAAUAAUAGUCCCAAUUAUAUAAUAAACCCUAAAUCCAUUUCAUGCUCCAUUUCUAUAUCCGCUUCCCAAUUUCAUAACGCUGACUUUAACAA
rnacentral:lncRNA from 1 species